UGCACUUUGGCAGACUGAGUGGCGGACGGGUGAGUAACGCGUGGGUAACCUGCCUUAUACAGGGGGAUAACAGUUGGAAACGACUGCUAAUACCGCAUAAGCGCACGGUAUCGCAUGAUACAGUGUGAAAAACUCCGGUGGUAUAAGAUGGACCCGCGUCUGAUUAGCUUGUUGGUGAGGUAACGGCCCACCAAGGCGACGAUCAGUAGCCGGCCUGAGAGGGUGAACGGCCACAUUGGGACUGAGACACGGCCCAAACUCCUACGGGAGGCAGCAGUGGGGAAUAUUGCACAAUGGGGGAAACCCUGAUGCAGCGACGCCGCGUGAGUGAUGAAGUAUUUCGGUAUGUAAAACUCUAUCAGCAGGGAAGAUAAUGACGGUACCUGACUAAGAAGCACCGGCUAAAUACGUGCCAGCAGCCGCGGUAAUACGUAUGGUGCAAGCGUUAUCCGGAUUUACUGGGUGUAAAGGGUGCGUAGGUGGUAUGGCAAGUCAGAAGUGAAAGGCUGGGGCUCAACCCCGGGACUGCUUUUGAAACUGUCAAACUAGAGUACAGGAGAGGAAAGCGGAAUUCCUAGUGUAGCGGUGAAAUGCGUAGAUAUUAGGAGGAACACCGGUGGCGAAGGCGGCUUUCUGGACUGAAACUGACACUGAGGCACGAAAGCGUGGGGAGCAAACAGGAUUAGAUACCCUGGUAGUCC
rnacentral:rRNA from 1 species